ACACAUGAUGAACCUGAGGCUGAUU
rnacentral:piRNA from 1 species